ACAUUUAAGUGCAUAUAUCUUGCCACAAGACAUGUGCGCUAAGCUAGCCAAAUUAGUUUCUGUUAGCGAAUCAAGUUCAAGCUCCUCACAUAUCAUCAUCCAGGGUACAGUCAUAUGCUCAUGAGGAGAUCCCACGCAGGUGAAGGUGCUGCCCACCCAUGAUACCAGCAAGGUGCGUGCAAGUGGAUCCGGCCUUAACACCACUGGAGCGCCCACCUCUCUGCCAGUGAAGGUCACCAUUGAUGCCAAAGAUGCAGGACCCAGAGGGGAAGCCCAAGAAGC